rnacentral:rRNA from 1 species
UACGAAGGGGGCUAGCGUUGCUCGGAAUUACUGGGCGUAAAGCGCGCGUAGGCGGGUCGUUAAGUCGGGGGUGAAAUCCUGGAGCUCAACUCCAGAACUGCCUUCGAUACUGGCGAUCUUGAGUCCGGGAGAGGUGAGUGGAACUCCGAGUGUAGAGGUGAAAUUCGUAGAUAUUCGCAAGAACACCAGUGGCGAAGGCGGCUCACUGGCCCGAUACUGACGCUGAGGCACGAAAGCGUGGGGAGCAAACAGG